rnacentral:rRNA from 1 species
GACGAACGCUGGCGGCGUGCCUAAUACAUGCAAGUCGAACGGGGUAAGCCUCUUCGGAGACUUACUUAGUGGCGAACGGGUGAGUAACGCGUGAGAAACCUACCUUUCAGUGGGGGACAACAGUUGGAAACGACUGCUAAUACCGCAUGAUGUAGCGAAGGGGCAUCCCUUUGCUACCAAAGCUUUAUGUGCUGAAAGAUGGUCUCGCGUCUGAUUAGCUAGUUGGUGAGGUAACGGCCCACCAAGGCGACGAUCAGUAGCCGGUCUGAGAAGAUGAACGGCCACAUUGGGACUGAGAUACGGCCCAG